UGGGGAAUUUUGGACAAUGGGGGCAACCCUGAUCCAGCCAUGCCGCGUGCGGGAAGAAGGCCUUCGGGUUGUAAACCGCUUUUGUCCGGAAAGAAAAGGCAUCCCCUAAUACGGGGUGUCCUUGACGGUACUGGAAGAAUAAGCACCGGCUAACUACGUGCCAGCAGCCGCGGUAAUACGUAGGGUGCGAGCGUUAAUCGGAAUUACUGGGCGUAAAGCGUGCGCAGGCGGUUUUGUAAGCCAGAUGUGAAAUCCCCGGGCUUAACCUGGGAAUGGCAUUUGGGACUGCAAGGCUGGAGUAUGGCAGAGGGGGCUAGAAUUCCUGGUGUAGCAGUGAAAUGCGUAGAUAUCAGGAGGAAUACCGAUGGCGAAGGCAGGCCCCUGGGUUAAUACUGACGCUCAUGCACGAAAGCGUGGGGAGCAAACAGGAUUAGAUACCCUGGUAGUCCACGCCCUAAACGAUGUCGACUGGUUGUUGGGGGUUUGACACUCUCAGUAACGAAGCUAACGCGUGAAGUCGACCGCCUGGGGAGUACGGCCGCAAGGUUA
rnacentral:rRNA from 1 species